CAGCAGCAAGCAUAACACCAUCAAAAAGCUUACUCUGCAGAGCGCCAAGUCCCGUGUGGCCUUCUUUGAAGAACUCUAGGUGACCCGACCACCUCCUGCCACAUCUGCUGCUCCUGACACCAACGGGGUGGGCCUGACCCCAAAGGAAUCAUCAGUAGAGGGCUGGCUUGUUUGGGAACUCUGAGUAGAAGGCCUGAUCCCCUUUGGGUUCAGUUGUUUUUGAACUCUGACCCUGCAGAGAUUUCUCAAGGUGUUCUAGUUCUCCUAGCCUGCAUAUCUAUGUCUCUCCUCCCUCCUCCCUCCCCACUCCCCCUCCCCUCCCUCCUUCUCCCCUCACUUUCCUCUCUCCUCUCAGAAAUAUUUGUUGUGUGUGGGCUGCCAUUCUUCCUGCACCCUAGGCACUGUGGUGUAAGUGUCACUGUGCGUGCUGCUGACUUUGGUUUGAGAAGCGGCUGUGAGUCCUGUGUGGAGGCUGAAAUCUACCAUGCUGGUGCUACCCACUCCCUGACUGGGGUUCUGGGAUAGGCCUCCCCUCCACAGUAAGGACCUGACUAGAAGCAUGGACUGGCUUAGCUCAGAACCAGCAAUGCUGGCUCCUUAGCCAGGCUCACCUGAGGCAGUGUUAUAGCUGUCUGACUGGCAGGAAACAGGCAGAACAGCUGUGGCUAGGAAGAGACU
rnacentral:lncRNA from 1 species